AUUGAACGCUGGCGGAAUGCUUUACACAUGCAAGUCGAACGGCAGCACGGGGGCAACCCUGGUGGCGAGUGGCGAACGGGUGAGUAAUACAUCGGAACGUGCCCGGUCGUGGGGGAUAACGUAGCGAAAGUUACGCUAAUACCGCAUACGAUCUGAGGAUGAAAGCGGGGGACCUUCGGGCCUCGCGCGAUCGGAGCGGCCGAUGUCAGAUUAGGUAGUUGGUGGGGUAAGGGCCUACCAAGCCGACGAUCUGUAGCUGGUCUGAGAGGACGACCAGCCACACUGGGACUGAGACACGGCCCAGACUCCUACGGGAGGCAGCAGUGGGGAAUUUUGGACAAUGGGCGCAAGCCUGAUCCAGCCAUUCCGCGUGCAGGACGAAGGCCUUCGGGUUGUAAACUGCUUUUGUAUGGAACGAAAAGGCUCUGGCUAAUACCUGGGGCUCAUGACGGUACCGUAAGAAUAAGCACCGGCUAACUACGUG
rnacentral:rRNA from 1 species